GAUGAACGCUGGCGGCGUGCCUAAUACAUGCAAGUCGAGCGAACGGACGAGAAGCUUGCUUCUCUGAUGUUAGCGGCGGACGGGUGAGUAACACGUGGAUAACCUACCUAUAAGACUGGGAUAACUUCGGGAAACCGGAGCUAAUACCGGAUGAUAUUUUGAACCGCAUGGUUCAAAAGUGGAAGACGGUCUUGCUGUCACUUAUAGAUGGAUCCGCGCUGCAUUAGCUAGUUGGUAAGGUAACGGCUUACCAAGGCAACGAUGCAUAGCCGACCUGAGAGGGUGAUCGGCCACACUGGAACUGAGACACGGUCCAGACUCCUACGGGAGGCAGCAGUAGGGAAUCUUCCACAAUGGGCGAAAGCCUGACGGAGCAACGCCGCGUGAGUGAUGAAGGUCUUCGGAUCGUAAAACUCUGUUAUUAGGGAAGAACAUAUGUGUAAGUAACUGUGCACAUCUUGACGGUACCUAAUCAGAAAGCCACGGAUAACUACGUG
rnacentral:rRNA from 1 species